GUCGUCAGUGCACAAAAACUGAAUGCUGCAUGUUCGCUUUGUGUUUGCAAGCACCAAAGUCAAAGGUAAAAUUUUCUUUUCGGUAUCCCUACAUGCAUAUGCUUAUCUCUCACUCCUGUGAUCAGUCAUGUGCAGACUCACGUGUAUACAAUAAAGAAAGAGUGAGGAAAUAAUGUGUAGGUUUCAAUUAAGCUGGAGACUUGUUUUCUAGAUGUUAAAUUAAAGUGUGAAAAAUCAACAACUAUAUAUGGGUAAUUGCCGUAACAGUCCUAAACCUUACCCUAAUUUGGCCUAAACCUUACCCUACAC